UACGUAGGGUGCGAGCGUUGUCCGGAAUUAUUGGGCGUAAAGAGCUCGUAGGCGGCUUGUCGCGUCGUCCGUGAAAACUUGGGGCUCAACCCCAAGCUUGCGGUCGAUACGGGCAGGCUAGAGUUCGGUAGGGGAGACUGGAAUUCCUGGUGUAGCGGUGAAAUGCGCAGAUAUCAGGAGGAACACCGGUGGCGAAGGCGGGUCUCUGGGCCGAUACUGACGCUGAGGAGCGAAAGCGUGGGGAGCAAACAGG
rnacentral:rRNA from 1 species